AGUGAACGCUGGCGGUAGGCCUAACACAUGCAAGUCGAACGGCAGCACAGUAAGAUCUUGCCCUUACGGGUGGCGAGUGGCGGACGGGUGAGGAAUACAUCGGAAUCUACUUUUUCUUGGGGGAUAACGUAGGGAAACUUACGCUAAUACAGCAUACGACCUACGGGUGAAAGCAGGGGAUCUUCGGACCUUGCGCGACUGAAUGAGCCGAUGUCGGAUUAGCUAGUUGGCGGGGUAAAGGCCCACCAAGGCGACGAUGCGUAGCUGGUCUGAGAGGAUGAUCGGCCACACUGGAACUGAGACACGGUCCAGACUCCUACGGGAGGCAGCAGUGGGGAAUAUUGGACAAUGGGCGCAAGCCUGAUCCAGCCAUACCGCGUGAGUGAAGAAGGCCUUCGGGUUGUAAAGCCCUUUUGUUGGGAAAGAAAAGAUGCAGGUUAAUCCCCCGCUGUUCUGACGGUACCCAAAGAAUAAGCACCGGCUAACUUCGUG
rnacentral:rRNA from 1 species